UACGGGGGGAGCAAGCGUUGUUCGGAUUUACUGGGCGUAAAGGGCGCGUAGGCGGUCGUGACAAGUCACUUGUGAAAUCUCCGGGCUUAACUCGGAACGGUCAAGUGAUACUGUCGGACUAGAGUACAGAAGGGGCAACUGGAAUUCUCGGUGUAGCGGUGAAAUGCGUAGAUAUCGGGAGGAACACCGGUGGCGAAGGCGGGUCUCUGGGCCGAUACUGACGCUGAGGAGCGAAAGCAUGGGUAGCGAACAGG
rnacentral:rRNA from 1 species